rnacentral:rRNA from 1 species
CCUACGGGCGGCAGCAGUGAGGAAUAUUGGUCAAUGGACGAGAGUCUGAACCAGCCAAGUAGCGUGAAGGAUGACUGCCCUAUGGGUUGUAAACUUCUUUUAUAUGGGAAUAAAAUGUUCCACGUGUGGGAUUUUGUAUGUACCAUAUGAAUAAGGAUCGGCUAACUCCGUGCCAGCAGCCGCGGUAAUACGGAGGAUCCGAGCGUUAUCCGGAUUGAUUGGGUUUAAAGGGAGCGUAGGUGGAUUGUUAAGUAAGUUGUGAAAGUUUGCGGCCCAACCGUAAAAUUGCAGUUGAAACUGGCAGUCUUGAGUACAGUAGAGGUGGGCGGAAUUCGUGGUGUAGCGGUGAAAUGCUUAGAUAUCACGAAGAACUCCGAUUGCGAAGGCAGCUCACUGGACUGCAACUGACACUGAGGCUCGAAAGUGUGGGUAUCAAACAGGAUUAGAUACCCUAGUAGUC